AUCACUCCGCAGUGGCAGUACUGUAGCCAAUGAGGUUUACCCGAGGCGUGAUUAUUGCUAAUUAAAAUCACUGCCUGAAAGAGGUAUAGAAUUUACUAGUUAUAAACCUUCAGUCUGAGUUUCUUUUUUUGGUAUAUGGAA